GUUACCUCUUAUUAUAUUUAAGUCAAUUAAAUUACUUAAAAUUAUGGGCCGCACGAAGUAUAACAGUUAUUAAAACAUUAAACAAAUAGCGUUUUUGCUUGUAAUUUUACAAAUCUAACCUCUUAAAUUGGUGGAAAAUUGGGGUGGCCUGGUUUGAAAAAAAAAAAAAAAAAAACUAUACAUUAUUACCUCAAUACCUCUCAAUUCAAAAUUGAAGUACCGAAGGACGUUCAUAGUUCAUCCUUGUUCCUCUUUUACCCAAAUUGAAGUACGGAGUAUAUUCAGAAGAAACGAUUUGCGCCAUAUCAAAAUUUUCCAGAAAUUGAACUCAGUCACUCGCUAGCAAAUAAUCUUUUUUGCGGGAAACUAUAAUCCUUGAUUGCAUGGAAGAAGAGGAUUCUGCUUCUACACUUGCGUGGAGUUGGGUUAUUGAAGCCCUAGCAAAGUCGCAGCUUGUGGAUGCCUCUCUUUUAUAUGAGUUGGUUUCGAAGACACCACCAUUAUUGGGUGAGUCAGGGAGAAAAGCGAGGGAAGCUACUGCCUUGAGGUGUUUAGAGGGACUCUUCAGCCCUUCUAAUGUGUCAUGUGAAAAUCAUGUUGCGUCUGACUGGUCAAAAUGUGGAUUUGAUCCAGCAGAAAGCUGUGAAGCUGCAAUUCAGCGCCUUUUACGUGAGACUUCAGGUUUUAAGGGUGCAUCGGACGAGUUGAAUUGCAAUACUGAUUCUUUCGUAAAGCACAAGAAAGCAAGUUUGCCGAAAUCUACUUUGGAACUGUUAAAGGACAUGAUUGUAGAAGAUACACGUCCACUGGCAGCAUCCUUGAAGGAAGUUAGUGGACUCGCUGUUGGAGAUCAAUGUGUGUUAGAUAUUCCCUUUGACGGUGGUGAUCCUACAUCUCCUCCAUUAAGGAGCGAUGAAGAUGAUCAUGCUGAUAAAACCAUGCUAGCAGAAGAAAAUGGGUGUUCCCCAAUAUCUGGUAUUGACAAUCAGCUUAGACAAGCCUACCUUGCAAACGGAAAAACAUCUUCUAGGGGUGGCAUAAGUAGUCACCACACUGAUAAUCAUGUGCAAGAGCUGGAGGCUGCUUCACAUGAUAUGGACAAUCUAUGCCCCCCUGGAAAGAAGCUUAAAUUGGACAAGAAGUAUGGCAUACAGUCUAAGCAUCAGCAUUCAGCUCCUGUUGACAGCAAUCAAAUGUGUAACAAUGCAGAAGAUGGACAGUAUCAUGAAGUCAUAAAAGUUAAUGCAAAACACGAUGGUAAAUCUUAUGGGAAAGAUGAUGAGCAGUCUAAAACGUAUGCAGAAAAUCAUGAUCAGCAACAAAUUUCACCUAAUGAUGGUAAUGCAGAAGCUGAACAAUAUCAUGAAGUCAUAAAAGUUAAUGCACCACAUGAUGGGAAAUCUUAUGGGAUAGAUGAUGAGCAGCCUAAAACGUCUGUGGAAAAUCAUGAUCAGCAAAAAAUUUCACCUAAUAAUGGUGACCACUUCCGCAAAGAGGUUGAUCUUGCCAUGAAAAACCAUAACUUCCCGAGUUCACAAUGUGUAUUAACUGGAGACUCCCUUGAAUUGACAGAGGCACAGACAAAUCUUUGUAUGAAAUGCAAUAAAGAUGGCCAAUUGUUAUCUUGCAGUGCUAGUAGCUGCCCCUUAUUGUUUCAUGAGAGCUGCUUGGGUUGCUCAGCUAGCUUUGAUGAUCUAGGAAACUUUUACUGUCCUUUUUGUGCAUAUUCCCGUGCAAUGUCUGAGUAUGUUAGAGCCAAAGAAAGAGUUUCUUUAGCAAGGAAAGAGCUCUCCCUAUUUAUUGGAGGGAGGACUAGGGAUCUUCCAGAACGUGAUGGUGAUUCAUCAUCAGGGAAUGAUGUUAACCUGGGCAAACAUAAGAAUGUUGAUAAGACAGCUGAAGUGAAGAAAGGUGCUACUUUUGUAAAUCAAGCUGCUAAGUCUCAUCAGACAAGUUGGAAAGGUAAACAAUUAGAGCUAACACACUCAUCUGCCUACAUGAAUGUUAAUGGAUUUGUAAUGGCUACACAACAGCAUAUUUCUUUUCAAGACAGACAAGGUGCUGAAAUAAUUAUCCAACUUUCAAGAGACCCAUCUCAAAUCUGGAAUAAGGAACAGGAUGAUCAUCAUUGUGAUGUUGUCAAGUUGUCUGGUGAUAAUAAUGAGCUAAAAACUCGAGGAAAACUCACUAGGUGUAAAAUUACUGAAUUUCAUGAAGAUGCUUCCUCUGAAUCAAUUAGUGAUUCAGAUGGACCACUACAAGAUAAGAGGAAUGAUGGUACCUGUUCCUUGGCAUGCCCUAGACCGUUAAGGGUUGCAUAUAUGCUGGCCUCCCUGGAUCCUACUGACGAUGGAAUCCUCCUUUCACAUUGGGUAGUGGACAGUUAGUAGUGUUGCCGAGGAACUUGUAGCUGUUAAGUGUGGGAUGUGGCAAGAAUGACCUAUUUAGUUUCUUGCAUUCUUUUGCCGCAAUGUUGAUCUUGUUGCUUGUGAUUUUGUUUUGUUUGGUAUUGGUUUUGUGUUGUUUGUAACUUGCAGCACUACUGUUUUUUUAAGCAGCUUUCAACUAUUGCUGUGUCUUUAGAUGUAGGUAUGAUAUGAAUUUGCAGUUGUCUCUGGUUGGCUUAAAACUGACUGAACUUAUGUUUAAUUUGCAGGGCAAUUCCGGGAUCUCCAGUAGGUAGACGUAAAAAGGUUCGUUGGACAGCAGAGGAGGAAGAAACGUUAAAGAAAGGGGUAGCAAUAUAUGAUCAAGGGAAUGGUCGAACCAUUCCAUGGAAAAAUAUUUUGGAAUAUGGAGAUUCUG